CCCAACUUUGCAGAUAAGGAAAUGGAUGCUCAGAGCCCUGGACCACAGAAUCCAAUAAAACCAGGCUUGGGACCUGGGUCUACUGGAGCCUGAGACCGGAGCUCCUGCUGCCUCCAGAAUGAUUAGACCAAGAGCAGAUGUGGCUACUUGAUGAUGGCCCACGGGCUGUGUCCCGUCUGCACAUGUGUUGUCUGGCUCGCAAAAUGUUUCCUUAAAAAAUACAUAUUGGUUGCCAACAUUUGAAAAUAGAGGGAUUACCCACAAAAAUUAAGAUUUCUGGCUUCUCCUGAAAAACAGAAGUGCUUGCAACACGAGGUCCACAUUCCUGCAUGGCAGCUGCCUGCACCAGGGGACACAGUGAGAAGAUGGCCAUCUACAAGCCAGGAAGAGAGGCCUCAACAGAAACUGACCGUGAUGGCACCUUGGUUUUGGACGUCUAGCCUCCAGAACUGUGAGAAAAAUGUGAGAUCCCACAGAGCAGAGACUAUGCCGACCUUUUCACUGCUGAUCUGUAGUGUACGGCAAGUGCCUGGCACCGGGAGGUGUUUAACAAGUUUGUGCAGC